GUACGGGGGGGGCAAGCGUUGUUCGGAAUUACUGGGCGUAAAGGGUUUGUAGGUGGCUUGUUAAGUCAGACGUGAAAUCCCUCAGCUUAACUGGGGAACUGCGUCUGAUACUGGCGAGCUUGAGUGCAGGAGAGGAACGCGGAAUUCCAGGUGUAGCGGUGAAAUGCGUAGAUAUCUGGAGGAACACCGGUGGCGAAGGCGGCAUCCUGGACCGAUACUGACGCUGAGGAGCGAAAGCCAGGGGAGCAAAGCGGG
rnacentral:rRNA from 1 species